rnacentral:rRNA from 1 species
UACGUAGGGUGCAAGCGUUGUCCGGAAUUUUUGGGCGUAAAGAGCUCGUAGGCGGUCCGUCGCGUCGAAUGUGAAAACCCGGGGCUCAACCCCGGGCCUGCAUUCGAUACGGGCGGACUAGAGUUCGGUAGGGGAGACUGGAAUUCCCGGUGUAGCGGUGAAAUGUGUAGAGAUCGGGAGGAACACCGGUGGCGAAGGCGGGUCUCUGGGCAACUCCUGACGCUGAGGCGCGAAAGCGUGGGGAGCAAACGGG